GUUUGAUUUCACACAUGAACCAAUAAGCCGUGAAGAUUUGGUGCUACAAAAAAUUGUGGAGGGGCCGAUGGAGUCCAAUUCUAUCUUAAACUUGGUGAUCUUCAAGAACUUAUAUUUCACACAUGAACCAAUAAGUCGUGAAGAUUUUGAGCUACAAAAAAAUUGUGGAGG